rnacentral:rRNA from 1 species
AGGACGAACGCUGGCGGCGUGCUUAACACAUGCAAGUCGAGCGGAAAGGCCCUUCGGGGUACUCGAGCGGCGAACGGGUGAGUAACACGUGGGCAACCUGCCCUUAGCUCUGGGAUAGCUCCGGGAAACCGGAAUUAAUACCGGAUAUGACCUAGGCCGACAUCGGCCGUGGUGGAAAGUUUUUCGGCUAGGGAUGGACUCGCGGCCUAUCAGCUAGUUGGUGGGGUAAUGGCCUACCAAGGCGACGACGGGUAGCCGGCCUGAGAGGGCGACCGGCCACACUGGGACUGAGACACGGCCCAGACUCCUACGGGAGGCAGCAGUGGGGAAUCUUGCGCAAUGGGCGAAAGCCUGACGCAGCGACGCCGCGUGGGGGAUGAAGGCCUUCGGGACGUAAACUCCUUUCGAUCGGGACGAUUAUGACGGUACCGGAAGAAGAAGCCCCGGCUAACUUCGCGCCAGCAGCCGC